CACUAAGCACUCCUCUCACAAAAGAAAGAAUGAACAGGAAACAAAACACCAAGCUACACAUGCUUUGGUGCACCUUCGCCUUGCACAAUCCUGUGUGUUAACAUUAUUUCUAUCAAAAUGAUACCAACUAGGCCGCUGCUUUCAGGCUAGUGAACUUCUAUGAAUGUCCAGUACACAAGUGCAAGGGUUGGGGCAUUUAAAAAAAAAAAAAUCAAUGGGGCUGCAGUUCAUCUCCAGAUUUCUUCAGAUAAUCAGUGCCUCUGGCAAGAGCAAAAAGUUUCUCGGCAAUGCUAUUAUUGCUCAAUGUGACUUUGCUAAUAACAACUAUUGUGUGUGUGUGUGUGUCUCAAAAAGUACAAUACCGAACUUUCAUAUUGCAUUUUAGUCUUGAGCAGUGGGCAUCUUGAGUUGCGCUGCCUUUUCCACUCUGGGCAGUGCUGUUGUCAUAGUUGAAGUUUUAAAGACGAAGUCUUUUUUUAGCGAGUUACCACCACUUUUUUCAUAUUGGGUAUGUUUCUAGUGUAUUUCGUGGGCUGAUCCUGGAGACAGGGCAGCCUAAAAAUAUGGGCCGAUAUGUGCCUCUGGGACCACUGGCCGCCGUGAUGUUCCAGGGAUACAUGUAUAUCAUGACCAUAUAAAGCCAACAGACAAUGAAGCCAAGGAAAGCAUCGGGGAAAUUAGCUGUGAUUAAAAUUUAAAUGUAGAAAAUAAUGAAGAAAAGGAAUAUGAAAGUGGACAAAAAGAUAAAUUGCCGCCGAUGGGAGAAUCCACAACCGCCACAUUACAUUUAAAUUUCAAUCACACCCAAUUUCCCCAUUGCUUUCCCUGGCUACAUUGUCUGUUGGCUUUAUAUGGUCAUGAUUAACCAAAAUCGAGCCCCUGAUGUUCCCUUCGCUCUAUAUGUAUAGUACAUAAACAAAUGAAGUUUUUUUAACGGCAAUAUUUGAACUCGGGACCCCUAGAACACCAACCUGAUGCUCUAACUAUUAGGACACGGGCGCAUGACUCAGCAGGUGGAAUAGAACAUCGAGGGGUGAAGAGAGAGUGCGGUGUGCAGUGACUCCACCCCUAUCUUACUCCCAACUCACUCAGAAAGACUGUCUGCCAUGCCUACAAUUUUUUUUUCGUUUUUUUUUUUGUCUAUCAUCUCAUGCAUCUGCGUGCUAUGAGGCUUCUUCUGCCUGUGAAAUUUGUGGAAGCACCGUGAAGCUAGAUCCACAUAGACCAAGGUAUUGUUGCUGCAUGUUUUCUUAGCAGACAGCUUUACUUGCAUUUCACUGUGUCAUAUUGGUUCUUAAGGUUGGAUGACACAUGGGUAGAAAUUGGGAAUGUGGAGUGUCAACUACAAUAUUUAGUGACAGUAAUCAUGCACUUUAUUUGAAAUCGGUUAAAACAAACUGACAGCAUAAGGGAGGGCAGACAAAACAAAACAAAACACGAAAUUCCCAUCUUUAGUAUGGUUCCAUCCGAGGGUAGGGAAUAAUACCAGUGUAUGUAUUGAUACCAAAGCUCAGAACAAUGACGUGUAAUUGGAAUGGAGUUAUCACAGUCACUCUACACUGCCACAAUUUCCAGACUGCUAAAGUGACACUAGGGGGGGGAA